UGUAAGUGAUGAUAACAUGGUCCGUGUUUCUGACCAAUGAUUACAAUUUAAUGAUCUGAUAUC
rnacentral:snoRNA from 1 species